UAGGUUGCCGCCGCCCCCGUCCCCGCCCCCGCCCCAUCAGUGCCUCGCAGCUCCUCCGUCGCCCGCCACCAGAGAAACUCCUUUCGUCGACCGCCACCAGAGAAACUCCUUCGUCGACCGCCACCAGAGAAAGCGCCCGCCUCAGAUCCACCUCUCCCCAAACCAUCCAUCAUGGUUGCAGAGGAGGGGGAGAAAGGGGAUGGCAUCAAGGUGCGGACGGAGGCCCUGCCUCGGGGCGGCGAGUUGCAGAGGAGAUUCUGUGGUCGUUUUAUGCGUGGUGGGUCUGGAGAUGCGCCACAGUGGCGCGGCAUGGGUUUGCGUGCGUGCGUUGGGCGGCAGGUGGUCAAAGAACGUGGCGGCUCAGUCGCGUAACUCGAUCCCCUCCACUACGCCGAGAAAUUACAUGUGGUCGCUCCAAUAGUGUAAGUGGCUAUCAAGAAACAUGUCAGGGAUCCAGCGCCAUAUGUUAGGAGAUGUGCAGCAUAUGUACUUUAUUGUAGGUGCUUUGUUUAGUGAAAAUUCCUCUGGAGUACUAGGAGCUUCCAUGGUUGGCAUUUAAGUCGGUUUGUCCAUAUUGUUUAUGGUUGAUAGCAAAGUAUUCCGGAGCCUCUGUGAAACACUCCCUGAAGUUGAAGAAUGGUCUAAGAUUAAUUGAGAUUUUCUUGUUGUAUGUGAUAGCAAACAUGGAUUGGUCAAGGAUUCUGCAAUGUUUGCUUGAAGUUUGCUCUCGAGAUCCAUGGUGGUAGGGAUUCAGCUCCUGUUAAUAAUAUAUAUCCAGCACCCAACAUGAAACUAUUGUUAAUGGAAGUUGUGGCACUAGGUCAAACAUUAUGUUGUUCCCGUAUUACAUUGGAGAAUAUUCAGGAUGUUUCUAUAGGGACGAUGAGAAAUUCAGCUUUCCAAAAUAGUGGAGUGAUACUUGCAGCAGCAAGUGUUCAUUGGAUAAUGGCUCUAGCUAAGGAAUUGAAGAGAAUUCUUGGCCCAAUUUUAUUUACUCUGUGUUCAUCCCCUGACGCAACAUACCCGGCACAGGAAUUAAAGACAUGAUCACUAAGUUGACUAGCCUAUUAAACACAAUAAGGGUCGCUACAAGGGCGAGCGCUCGUUGUGUCCACCUCUCCAUUUUUUACUAUGCCGGGUUUUACUGUAGCGACGAAGGGAGAAACAAAUCCAGCGACUCUUCCCCUCGCCAAUGCCCUCUUUUGUUUUCUCCUCCCACAGCUAGGAUUCUUUUGUAUAUAGUCUAUAAGGUGUUUGAUGAAAUGCAAGAAGGCAGCUGGGGACGAGAUCUGCCUGCAGAGGUUGUUGCUUUACCAUCACUGUUCUUGUGUCGUGCCUAAUGGUAAGGGAUAUUGAAAUAUGGAUACCACAAAUUAAAGUGACAUUGGUGAUUCACACCGACAAGCCAUAUGAUGGAGUAUGGGAGGCUUUAGAUGUGGUUGCAUGGAAGCGUUUGUCAAGUUGGUCAGUGACCAGUUCUGCUCGCUGUUUUCAGGUUACCAUCCUCUUGCUCUUUUUUGUCAGGAAGCAUUCUCAUCUUUUGUUCGCAUGAGUAAGAUGCAGCAUGCUGACGCUCUAUUAGUUUUAUUUAUUCUUGCCAAAAAAUAGAAAGUAAAAUGUGCGAAGAUACAACAUUGAUGACGGGCUUGCGACUCUCAACACCCUCGACCCCCACCAUUCCUCUCUCUCCAUUUUGGUCUCGUCCACUAUCCACUAGAUAGGAAGACAAACAGGUGCUUCCUCUAGGUAUAAUUUUUUGCUAAUGUCAUUGAAUUUCUCGUGAGAUCUCUCUAGACCUUCCCAAAAGUAUUUUAGUUUGGUGUUCAUAUGUAUUAACUAGCCGAAGAAGGGAUGCAAAUGGAAGAAUUUGAUAUGCAUAAACUCCCGUCAUUGAAUCAGGAACAGAAAAUUGUUAGUUUGCUCGUUUGUUUCCUUUCUUGUCUAGCCUGCUCCACAUAGGUUUUAGUUUUACAGUGAAAAGCUACACAAUUUGUGAUGGCGAUGAAAGGACUGAAAGAUUUGCUCAAAGCAAAAGCGUCUAGCCGGGAUACAUAUGGUAAGAAUCUUCAGAUAUUGACUUCUUUUCAUCUGCUAUUGAGAUAUAUACUUGCUCAUAGGUCACAAGUCAUGAAGUUACUUCCUUUUCCUUUUGUUUCUGAGAUAUAUAUGUGCUCAUAGGUGCUGAGACAUUUCGGAAGGUUCUCAUCUGCAUAGAUUAGUUGAUAGGAUGGCAAUUUAAGUUUAUUGAAGCUCAUUUUUAGGAGGCGGGGGUCUGCUUUGGUUUCUUACUAUUUGCCUAUUCUCUUAAAAAUACAUGAGUGGAUGCAACUGGCAGUUUGUAAAUCAAUAAUUUGGAUGGUUCUAAUUUUUUAAUUUUUAGGGGAAAAUUCCUUUGUUCGUUGAAUAAAUCAUGUUCGUUACAAUCAGAUUGCACACAGGUUGCUAUAUCAAAAAGUAGUGCCUUGUACCGGCUAGCAUCCCUAUUGCUAUUUCUCCCUAUCUUCUUCACCUGAAUAUAUUGCCUCCAUCGAACAGGGCUACUGUUAUUGAUCAUAAGAUCUGACUGUUCUAUGAUUACUAGAUGAAGCUACAGUGGUUAACCUGCUAUAUAGUGCAUGUUCUAGGUUUGUUAUACUGAAAAUGGUUAUUGUUCUUGAUCGUAUGUAUGAUCUCAUACUGUUCUAUGAUUACUAGAUGAAGCUACAAUGGUUAACUUGCUAUAUGGUACAGGUUCUAGGUUUGUUAUACUGAAAAUGGCUACUGUUCUUGAUCAUAUGAUCUUAUAUCAUAUACGUGCAAAUCAGGCCUUUAGGCCACUGGAAUUUCACUAUCGUUUCAUUUAGGAAGAGUAGAUUGAUCCAUUAUCUGGGGUAGCAUAGAGAACACAUUGUCUACCUGCAUAGAGAUAGUACCAAAGUGAAUUAUAUGUGUUUCAUCACCUUUAUUAAUUCUCCCUUCUUCUUUUAGCUUAUUAGUUGCUAACCUGCAAAGAGGUAGUACCAAGCAUGAUCUCUGGUUUGCCAUGUACGAGUCAUUUUAUUAAGCUGACAUUAGUAAUUUUGCAUUUUACGUAGUUCAUGUGCAAGUUAAACGUCUAUCGAAUAAUACUAAUAUUAAGUUUAUAAUGUUGGCAGUCUGUUAUUGCCGUUGUUUUCUUGGGAGUACUUCAGAAGGUGCAGUUGGGAAGGUGAGGACACACCAUGGCAGAGGUGCGUGGUUGGCAGGACGAGUCAGUGAGGCAUGCCGGUGGACAUGUGGAUGUUUAUCAUGGCAUUGACACAUUUCACUCCACCGACACUGCAUACCAACGUGAGGCCUUAGAUACUCUGUUCCUUCUGAUAUGGACAUGAAGGUUAAAGCCAUAAUCAAACUUAUCAAUGAAGAUGUUGAUUCUUUUGGAAGGAGAGCAGAGAUGUACCAAAAUAUUUUUUUUCGAUGGGAAAGGAGCCGUCAAAUUUCAAGAAGUUCAAAGGUUGACUGUAGAGAUCAACAUGGCAAAUGAAAAAUGGGAUGCGCUCAUGCAGAGCAAGAUGCACCAAGAGAGCGCUAUUCGUGAGCUGAAGAUGGAAAUCGGGAGCCUCACUGAACAAAAUCACUCUUCCGAGCUGCUUAUACAACAACUCCGUGGUGAGAUAAAUUCAUUGAGGGAUUCGAAGGGUGAACUCUAAAUUUAAAUUUGAAGCCUGCUUGUGUACAAAUGUAUUGAUGUGUGUCUUCCCUAGAUUGCUUUGGGUUUGCGCAUGUGCUACUGUUGAUCAAUGGCUGCUGAGUUUCAACAUUGUUUUCACGUUCUUCACAAAUGCACUGAUGGUUUGUCCAAUUCAAUUGGCUCUCAAUUUUGGCGGGAGAUCGCAGAGCACAAUUAUAUGGUUUGACUGUUGUAUGUUCUUACUUUCUCUGUUUCACAAAUCGUGUUGUGAAGUGUGAUCACCUCAACUUGUGGCUCCAACCAUCUACAUAGUGGGAUCACUACAUAAUUCCCUGUGAUUCACAUCGCUUCAUCAGUUAAUUAGUUUAUGUUACAUGCAAUUGAUUCAAUGUUUACAAUCUGUGGUAUACAAGCUCACAAAUCUAUUAAUACAUUUUUUGUAUGUUCACCUGUAAAUAUAUCCAAGAUUUUCCAUGGCUGAUUGAGAUGACGUUGGAGUUCUUAGGAGCUGCAACAAUACAUGUUUUUUUCUUUGUUAAUGACAUGUAUUAUAUCAGUAGUUAUUUUGGAAGAACUUUUGGACUUUUUGACAGCUGAACUGAAACCAUCUGUCAUAGUAAUAGCUACAAGAUUUCAUUACACGCUGGGAAUACGAAAAUGAAUUGUGGUAAUUCACUUAUUCUAGCAUAAUCAGUCACGCUGCGAUUUUCUGCAUGCGUGUGACACCAAUAUACUUCUAUUUUUAGUAUUGGGUUCUUCUAAAGGAUAACUUCUUCUGCUCUCAUAGUCAUUUUUCUUAGAGUACCGGUAUGAAAUAUGAUAGUGAUAUGCAAGAUGGUGCUGAUCGACGGUGGUCGGCAAGGCGGCAGGAGGCGAAGAUGAUGACUGAUACGGUGGCCAACGGAUAAAAGAUGUCGUUUAACUCCAUUUCCCAGUGGGGGCCUCUUCAUGGGCUGAUCUAGCAUCAGGACGCAUGGGAGGAGAGACGGCUCUCAUGUAUUAGGAUGUUGCACACUUGGUGGACCAGUCGACGCGGUUGUUCCACGCGCUGCUCUUGUUGAUUUGUUCUUGACACAUCCUUUGUUCUAUUGUAUUUUUUGAAUCAGUUGGUGGUAUAUAUUAACAAGUAUCAUUCAUUCUGUCACUUUUGAACCACCGAUAUUGUUUGUAAUCACUCCUCUAGACUGCAAAACUGCUGCUUUUGUGUUAUGUGUCCUUUUUCAAGAAGCGGCAACAUGAUAUUGUGUGUGUUAUUAUAUUGCUAUC